GGUCAUGUGGCCCAAUGGAUAAGGCGCCUGACUACGAAUCGGGAGAUUCUAGGUUCGAGUCCUGGCAGGAUCG
rnacentral:tRNA from 1 species